CGUCGGAGCGUCCCGCUGAGGC
rnacentral:miRNA from 1 species